ensembl:lncRNA
CUCCUGAGCAGUAGAAAAUGCCUCCAUCAGCCUUUAUGAACAUGUAAUCAGCAGUAUCCAGUCAUAAAAAAGCCUUAACACAAAAAGACUGUGCUGUUCCUGUUCUGCUAUUCUUAUGUAGCACGACAUCAGUUAUUCCUGCACAAAAACAGAGACAGCCUGCAUGUAUGCUGAGGAAUGGUUACUCUCCCAUCACAGACCUUUAUGGAUGCAUUGCCAAGAGGCUUGUUUCUAGAUGCAGAUGUGCACUGGCUGUGCAGACCCGUUGUGCAUUGAUAAAAACCUGCGUUGUCCCACCACAGCCCUGGCUACACCUCAGCAGACAAGAAAGGAUAUCUCCCCAUAAAGCCUUGGGGGACCCCGCACUGGAGAGCCUAGAGAGUGUGCUGCCUCAGAGGUGCUGUGUGACUUCACUGCCAGUGCAAUUAAACAUUGACAGCAACCUCUGCAUGUGUCACAGGAGCUGCCCCACUCUGUGAUGGCUGCCAAAGAAGGAAGGAACAAGGGAGUGGGAAGAAAUUUAAUGAAAGGG